rnacentral:rRNA from 1 species
AUUGAACGCUGGCGGCAGGCCUAACACAUGCAAGUCGAACGAGUGGCGGACGGGUGAGUAAUGUCUGGGAAACUGCCUGAUGGAGGGGGAUAAAUACUGGAAACGGUAGCUAAUACCGCAUACCAUCGGAUGUGCCCAGAUGGGAUGAGCUUGUUGGUGGGGUAACGGCUCACCAAUGCAACGAUCCCUAGAUGGUCUGAGAGGAUGACCAGUCAAACUGGAAGUGAGAAACGGUCCAGACUCCGACGGGAGGCAGCAGUGGGGAAUAUUGCACAAUGGGCGCAAGCCUGAUGCAGCCAUGCCGCGUGUAUGAAGAAGGCCUUCGGGUUGUAAAGUACUUUCAGCGGGGAGGCGUUACCCGCAGAAGAAGCACCGGCUAACUCCGUGCCAGCAGCCGCGGUAAUUC